CCAUGGGGUCACCCAGCCGCCCGGCCAGCCGGGAGACGAGCACUGCUCGCCCUCUGCCCGCCUCUUAACUUAUUUAUAGCCGGCGGCCGAGCGCGUCUGCCUGCGUGUCAGUGUGCGGUUAAGAGGGGGCAGACACUCUUCACUGGCUGGAAAAGAGAAAGAGGAGGGGAAUAACAAAAAGAGAAAACCCUCCUCCUCUUUUCCUGACACGGAGGACUCCGACUGACAGCAGGCAGCGCGUCCCGCUCGACACGAAAUGGCGCCCGGCUGCCCCGGGGGCUGGGGCGGGGAGAUUGGGGCACUGGGGCGGCGGGGCAGCGCUCUUGGUUCAGAGGGUUCCUGCGAGUGGCUGUGCUGCCUCGUGAGAUUAAUUAUCACCUCACUAUUGCUGUGAGGAAGGGAGAGGUGUGCCUGCCCGGCCAAGGAAUGGGGCAGGGGGUACUGGUGGGGCUUUUCAGGGUGCCCUGAGGCUGGCACCUCUGUUCAGUCCUGUGAGGGAAACGAUGUGGAUCAUCCAUAAAGCUGUCCCCCUUGUGGCAUUCCCUUCCUCCACUCUCCAGCACAUGGCCCAUCCUUCUGAUCUCAUGAUAGAUAUGUUCCUCCCACAUUUGCCUAAAACAUUUUCUUCAUCUUACAUCUCCACUUUUCUGAAACCCAUCUUGUCAUGGUUGCAUAUGGACUCCAAAAAGAGGAAACUACCAUAGCAGGCCUUCAUAUUUACCCGCUGGGACAGAAGAAUAGUGAUUGCCCGAAUUUGAUACUGCUCUUGAGUGAAAAGCACAUUCACUUUCUCAACUGACUAUGAAGAAGUGGGUGUAGCAGAGUGCAAUACUCCCUACAAUCCAAAUAAGAUAAAGCUCUUUACUGGUUUUGCAUUUGUGGACAAUUGGUACAUUACACUGAGGAAUUGAUGUUUGCAAACAGCUGACAGGCUACAGCAGCUGUAGCACUACUGGAAGAGACCAGUUUCAUGAAUGUGAUCCAGGCCUGCAUUUCGUACACGAACUGCCUUGGCUCUGCUGCACAUCGGAUUGGAUAGAAGGAAAGAAGAAAUCGAGCCCAUGGAGAUGCAGGGAUGAUUUAGGAUUGGUACGUCUUGAUACAUCUUCACUAUGUCUGGGAUUCAGAGUGCAGCUGGAGUACGUAUCCACGCUAAGGACCUUGAAAACAUUUGGCAUCUCAAAGCUCAGAUGACAAAGCCUACAGCUUCCUCUGUAUUCUUUGAUGUUACAGCUGAAUUUUCAUUAAAGGUGAUUUAACUGUCUUGUUUGCAUGUUUUGUGUACUUUAGUAUUCAGUCUUUCUUCUCCUGCUCCCUUUCUC